rnacentral:rRNA from 1 species
GAUGAACGCUGGCGGCGUGCCUAAUACAUGCAAGUCGAGCGAACGGACGAGAAGCUUGCUUUUCUGAUGUUAGCGGCGGACGGGUGAGUAACACGUGGAUAACCUACCUAUAAGACUGGGAUAACUUCGGGAAACCGGAGCUAAUACCGGAUAAUAUUUUGAACCGCAUGGUUCAAAAGUGAAAGACGGUCUUGCUGUCACUUAUAGAUGGAUCCGCGCUGCAUUAGCUAGUUGGUAAGGUAACGGCUUACCAAGGCAACGAUGCAUAGCCGACCUGAGAGGGUGAUCGGCCACACUGGAACUGAGACACGGUCCAGACUCCUACGGGAGGCAGCAGUAGGGAAUCUUCCGCAAUGGGCGAAAGCAUGACGGAGCAACGCCGCGUGAGUGAUGAAGGUCUUCGGAUCGUAAAACUCUGUUAUGAGGGAAGAACAUAUGUGUAAGUAACUGUGCACAUCUUGACGGUACCUAAUCAGAAAGCCACGGCUAACUACGUG